rnacentral:rRNA from 1 species
AACGAACGCUGGCGGCAUGCCUAACACAUGCAAGUCGAACGAAGCCUUCGGGCUUAGUGGCGCACGGGUGCGUAACACGUGGGAAUCUGCCCUUCGGUUCGGAAUAACAGUUAGAAAUGACUGCUAAUACCGGAUGAUGACGUAAGUCCAAAGAUUUAUCGCCGAAGGAUGAGCCCGCGUAGGAUUAGGUAGUUGGUAGGGUAAUGGCCUACCAAGCCGACGAUCCUUAGCUGGUCUGAGAGGAUGAUCAGCCACACUGGGACUGAGACACGGCCCAGACUCCUACGGGAGGCAGCAGUGGGGAAUAUUGGACAAUGGGCGAAAGCCUGAUCCAGCAAUGCCGCGUGAGUGAUGAAGGCCUUAGGGUUGUAAAGCUCUUUUACCAGGGAUGAUAAUGACAGUACCUGGAGAAUAAAGCUCCGGCUAACUCCGUG